rnacentral:rRNA from 1 species
UGGGGGAUAUUGCACAAUGGGCGAAAGCCUGAUGCAGCGACGCCGCGUGGGGGAUGAAGGCCUUCGGGUUGUAAACUUCUUUUGCUCUGAACAAGGCAUGCUAAUGGGUGUGUUGAGUGUAGGGGUUGAUUAGCGCCGGCUAACUACGUGCCAGCAGCCGCGGUAAUACGUAGGGCGCGAGCGUUGUCCGGAAUUAUUGGGCGUAAAGGGCUUGUAGGUGGCUGGUUGCGUCUGUCGUGAAAGCUCAUGGCUUAACUGUGGGUGUGCGGUGGGUACAGGCUGGCUUGAGUGCAGUAGGGGAGGCUUGAAUUCCUGGUGUAGCGGUGGAAUGCGCAGAUAUCAGGAGGAAUACCGGUGGCGAAGGCGGGUCUCUGGGCUGUUACUGACACUGAGGAGCGAAAGCAUGGGGAGCGAACAGG